GUCAAGAAGAAGAAUACAAGAUGAUUGUCGAAAUUGUAAUUGUUUGAUUUUGACAUUAAUUUAGAGAAAAGUACGCUUUAUUAAAAGCCGGAGAAUGUCGGAAGAAGCGGCCAGCACCUCGGCUUUUGGCUUUAAGAAGCGCAAUAUCAAAAAAGGAGCUGGAAUGCGUCGCAAAAAGGAAAGCAGUAGCAGCAACGAAUCAGGUGAGCAAAUAUUCUACCGCCAAAAAGUGAUAUACAUAGGGGAUAUAUUUAAACGAAAUCCAGCAAAAAGCAGCGAUGAGGAGUUAAAAGGCAAAGCCAGUGCCUUAGUGCGAGCCGAAAACCGCAGGAAGCGCACGAAUCCCAACUUUCAGAGCACCAAGACAUUGAGCAAGGCGAAGCGCCAAGCAGGAGCACACGAUGAGGAAGCAACAUCCUCGGCCUCCGAUGAUGAUAAGCUGGGCAUUGCCUACAAAUCCAAGCGCGAGGGGCUGCCCAGUGGGCCGCAGGAUCAGGGAGCCACGUCCGUCAACGAAAUGGACACCGAACUGGACCGCGACGCCCAGGCAAUCCAUGCUCGUGCCCUGAAAAUCAACGAGGAACUGGAGGGCAAGGCGGACGAUAAGAUAUACCGCGGAAUCAAUAACUAUGCCCAGUACUACAAAAAACAGGAUACGGCGGCGGGAAACGCCAGCUCCGGAAUGGUGCGAAGUGGUCCCAUCAGGGCACCGGCUCAUCUCAGAGCCACUGUGAGGUGGGAUUACCAACCGGACAUUUGCAAGGACUACAAGGAAACGGGAUACUGUGGCUUCGGCGACAGUUGCAAAUUUUUGCAUGAUCGCAGUGAUUACAAAGCCGGAUGGCAAAUGGAAAUGGACCACGAGAAUCAGCGGAGGGGAGAUGGUGACUCUGAUGGCGAUGAUGGCAAGUACGAGAUUCACUCCGACGAGGAGUCGCUGCCUUUUAAGUGCCACAUCUGCCGACAGAGCUUUGUCAAUCCCGUGGUUACCAAAUGCAAACACUAUUUCUGUGAAAAGUGCGCCCUGGCCCAGUACAAAAAGUCACAGCGCUGCGUUAUCUGCUCGCAGCAAACUAGUGGCAUUUUCAACCCCGCAAAGGAUCUGAUUGCUCGCCUUAAGACGAAUCCCAUGGAGAACUCGGAUAGCGAUGAGGAGGAGCUCGGAGCAAAGGAAGGGAAGGGCGAAGAGGAGCCGGAGGCUCAAGAAAUUUCCUCUGACGAGAGUGAUUAAAUUAAAUUCAAAUUCAGCGCGUGCAGUUUUAUAGCCACCAGUUUGCGAGCGGCAAACCAAUUUUUCAGGGGGCAACAAUUUGUUGAGCAGUUCGCUACUGUUAUCUACUACGAAAACUUUCACAAUUUUGAUGCUUGUUUAUCGGCCCUUUGCCAACUCAUCAAAUGACCAUUGUGACCGGCUUGUUUGUGCCCGUGUCUACGUGGUCAGUGGAAUAAUCACGGCACAAGUAUUUGUAUAACUCAUUUAAGUGCUGGCCCAGAUGCAGAUGACCAUGGUUAGGCUGCUGCUGUUUCACUGCUCGACCCGACUGCCAGUUUGUUUUGUGUGCACUUUUGUUAUGUAAUUACCGUUGUGGACGAGCCCUGGAUUCGGACUGUGAUUCGGAUCCUGAUGCGAGCCGGGCGGUCUUGUACGGCCAACUGUUACAACUGUUUAUGCUGGCGCUAAACAAACAGCCCAAAUACCCGCCCACACACAUGGCCAAGGACACAAGGCAACAAUGUGACAGCAUCACUGAAAAGAUUGUUUAAAUUUUCGAGGUUCCAACAUGACACUUAAAUAUUCUGUUGCUUGGAACUAUUAUUUAACAAUCCUUUUUUUUAACGAUUUUUGAUUAGUUGUUUUAAUUGAGUAACACUUUCUUAGUUGUAUUGUUUAGAACAA